rnacentral:tRNA from 4 species
UCGGGAGUAGCUCAGUGGUAGAGCAGCACGCUGUUAACGUGAUGGUCGUGGGUCCGAUCCCCACCUCCCGAGCGA